rnacentral:tRNA from 1 species
GCCCGGUUAGCUCAAUCGGUAGAGCGUGAGACUCUUACCAGAGUACACAAUCUCAAGGUUGCGGGUUCGACCCCCGCAUCGGGCU